rnacentral:precursor_RNA from 1 species
ACCGGGGUCCGGUGCGGAGAGCCUUUUGACCUGGGAAA